rnacentral:lncRNA from 1 species
GAGAGAGUACAGGGUGAAGUUAGACUAGAUUGUGUGUAAAUGUUGCUCCCUCUAAGUGGAGCUCCUGUAACAUUAGCUAGGCCAGUGAUUCGUAGAAAAGAUGUGUUUGGGCAAUCAGCUUCUUAGCAGGAGACUGUUCUGUAACAGCCCUGCAAUCAUGUCUCUAGGCAGAGAGGAGAGUUGAAUCCUAGCCAUUUACUGCAGAGUACGGCCAUUAGAGCAGAGCAAGGCUCUUGCCACAGAGGUGAUAAUGGCAUACGGCUAGUUUGCCCCAGAAAGCACAAGGAGCUGUAUUUCCUGGAGAGUCUAAAAUAUGGACAUAGAAUAAUUGCAGAUAGGGGGGGAAGGAUGAAUCUCCAAAAGUGAUUUGUUUUUACUCCAACUCACAUGUACUUAACAUGGGUGCUGUGAAACGAGGACAUUGAGUGUCCGUGUGGAAUACAGGGAUACAGGCUGUCAUCAUUCAAUUGAGGCAGGAAGAAACUUGAAGAACCAGAGAUGGGGCCGUCCUCCAGCUCCAUCUUCACCGUAGCCAUGGUUUCCAAAAAAAAACACAAAGACACCUUUACCAAGGUCGAGAUCCCGUCAGAAUAUCAAUGUGAGCACAGCGGCGGUGAUGGGGGUGGCUGUGAGAGGACAGAGAGGAGUGGCGCCCACCAAGGAGUCUCAUUAUGACACAGAGGGACAUCCGCCUAACACUAACGCUACGGGGUCUGCCACGGCCAGGAGCAGGGGUCCACUACGUAGGGAACCUGGAGAACACAAACCCAUAACCACCACCGGGAUGGACCGAGACACGGGGAUAGAGAGAGGGAGGGAGAAUGAGAGAGGGAGGGAGAAUGAGAGAGGGAUGGGAAGAGGGCGGGAGAAGGAGAGAGGGAGGGAGAGAGAGGUUGAGGUAGAGAGAGAAUCUCCAUGUCCCAGCAACACCAAUGGAGACUCUGAUGUAGAAGCUCUACUGGCCAGACUGAGGGCCUUGUAAGAGAUCUAUUUCCAGACACAGAUAACCCAGUCGCACCCAAACACCUCCACACCUGGCUGCCCCCCCCACCCCCAUAUCUGCAGCGUUAGGGCUGCCCAGCACAGGACAGCACAGGACAGGACAGCACAGGACAGCCCAGGAC